UACGUAGGUGGCAAGCGUUGUCCGGAUUUACUGGGCGUAAAGAGCGCGCAGGCGGUCGUUCAAGUCGCGUGUGAAAGCCCCCGGCUCAACUGGGGAGGGUCACGCGAUACUGAUCGACUCGAAGGCAGGAGAGGGAAGUGGAAUUCCCGGUGUAGUGGUGAAAUGCGUAGAUAUCGGGAGGAACACCAGUGGCGAAGGCGGGUCUCUGGGCAAUUCCUGACACUGAGACACGAAGGCCAGGGGAGCAAACGGG
rnacentral:rRNA from 1 species